AUACUCUGGUUUCUCUUCAGGAGUGUAUACAUCUUUCGCGCCUUUUACUAAAGAUUUCCACGGAGAGAAACAACGCUGAGUCUUUAACCAAUUUUUUUGAGACCUCGCUUAUGCAGGGUU
rnacentral:snRNA from 1 species